rnacentral:tRNA from 1 species
AUUUAUAUAAUAUAAAAAUUAUAUUUGACUUCCAAUCAAAAUAUCUAACUAAGUUAGUAUAAAUA